rnacentral:tRNA from 1 species
GAAAUAUGAUAACUUUAAACUUCUAAUUUAAAAAAUAGUGAUUAAUUAUCAUUAAUAUUUCU